rnacentral:rRNA from 1 species
CAAUAGCGUAUAUUUAAGUUGUUGCAGUUAAAAAGCUCGUAGUCGGAUUUUGGCUGAGAACGAUCGGUCCGCCGUUAGGUGUGCACUGAUUGGUCUCAGCUUCCUGGUGAGGAGGUGUGCUUCACGGCCACUUAGUCACCGUGGUUACUUUGAAAAAAUUAGAGUGUUCAAAGCGGGCUUACGCUCUGAAUACAUUAGCAUGGAAUAACACGAUAGGACUCUGGCCUAUCUUGUUGGUCUGUAGGACCGGAGUAAUGAUUAAGAGGGACAGUCGGGGGCAUUCGUAUUUCAUUGUCAGAGGUGAAAUUCUUGGAUUUAUGAAAGACGAACUACUGCGAAAGCAUUUGCCAAGGAUGUUUUCAUUAA